GUGUGUGUCUGCAGGGAGCAGGUGAAUGAUUCCUUCUAAGGUGACCAUCCUGAAGCGGCGUGGUUUGAGAUUCUCAAGAUUCUCAUCAGUUUUUUCACUGAACAAGCCAGAAGCGUCAAAUGCUGUUGAAACAUCAGUGGAUUGGAAGAAGU